UUCCAGACUCCUACGGGAGGCAGCAGUGGGGAAUAUUGGGCAAUGGGCGCAAGCCUGACCCAGCAACGCCGCGUGAAGGAAGAAGGCCCUCGGGUUGUAAACUUCUUUUGUCAGGGACGAAGAAAGUGACGGUACCUGACGAAUAAGCCACGGCUAACUACGUGCCAGCAGCCGCGGUAAUACGUAGGUGGCAAGCGUUAUCCGGAUUUACUGGGUGUAAAGGGCGUGUAGGCGGGACUGCAAGUCAGAUGUGAAAAUUAUGGGCUCAACCCAUAACCUGCAUUUGAAACUGUAGUUCUUGAGUGAUGGAGAGGCAGGCGGAAUUCCGUGUGUAGCGGUGAAAUGCGUAGAUAUCAGGAGGAACACCGGUGGCGAAGGCGGCCUGCUGGACUGCAACUGACGUUGAGGCCCGAAAGCGUGGGGAGCAAACAGGAUUAGAUACCCCCGUAAAA
rnacentral:rRNA from 1 species